rnacentral:rRNA from 1 species
UAGGGAAUCUUCCACAAUGGACGCAAGUCUGAUGGAGCAACGCCGCGUGAGUGAAGAAGGUUUUCGGAUCGUAAAGCUCUGUUGUUGGUGAAGAAGGAUAGAGGCAGUAACUGGUCUUUAUUUGACGUAUCAACAGAAAGAUCACGGCUAACUACGUGCCAGCAGCCGCGGUAAUACGUAGGUGGCAAGCGUUGUCCGGAUUUAUUGGGCGUAAAGCGAGCGCAGGCGGAAUGAUAAGUCUGAUGUGAAAGCCCACGGCUCAACCGUGGAACUGCAUCGGAAACUGUCAUUCUUGAGUGCAGAAGAGGAGAGUGGAACUCCAUGUGUAGCGGUGGAAUGCGUAGAUAUAUGGAAGAACACCAGUGGCGAAGGCGGCUCUCUGGUCUGCAACUGACGCUGAGGCUCGAAAGCAUGGGUAGCGAACAGGAUUAGAUACCCUGGUAGUCCAUGCCGUAGACGAUGAGCGCUAGGUGUUGGGGGACUUUCCGGUCCU